GAUGAACGCUGGCGGCGUGCCUAAUACAUGCAAGUCGAGCGAACAGACGAGGAGCUUGCUCCUCUGACGUUAGCGGCGGACGGGUGAGUAACACGUGGAUAACCUACCUAUAAGACUGGGAUAACUUCGGGAAACCGGAGCUAAUACCGGAUAAUAUAUUGAACCGCAUGGUUCAAUAGUGAAAGACGGUUUUGCUGUCACUUAUAGAUGGAUCCGCGCCGCAUUAGCUAGUUGGUAAGGUAACGGCUUACCAAGGCAACGAUGCGUAGCCGACCUGAGAGGGUGAUCGGCAACACUGGAACUGAGAAACGGUCCAGACUCCUACGGGAGGCAGCAGUAGGGAAUCUUCCGCAAUGGGCGAAAGCUUGACGGAGAAACGCCGCGUGAGUGAUGAAGGUCUUCGGAUCGUAAACCUCUGUUAUUAGGGAAGAACAAAUGUGUAAGUAACUAUGCACGUCUUGACGGUACCUAAUCAGAAAGCCACGGCUAACUACGU
rnacentral:rRNA from 1 species